rnacentral:tRNA from 1 species
GGGGGUUUAGCUCAGUGGUAGAGCGCUUGCCUAGUAAGCACAAGGCCCUGGGUUCGGUCCCAGCUCCG